CACGUAGGGUGCGAGCGUUGUCCGGAAUUAUUGGGCGUAAAGAGCUCGUAGGCGGUGUGUCGCGUCGGCCGUGAAAACCUGCAGCUUAACUGUGGGCUUGCGGUCGAUACGGGCAUCACUGGAGUUCGGCAGAGGAGACUGGAAUUCCUGGUGUAGCGGUGAAAUGCGCAGAUAUCAGGAGGAACACCGGUGGCGAAGGCGGAUCUCUGGGCCAUUACUGACGCUGAGGAGCGAAAGCGUGGGGAGCGAACAGG
rnacentral:rRNA from 1 species